UUGUGUGGUAGGUUCGUUGCGCACUUUGCUUACCAGAACCGUGUGUGGUAAGUCAAUGCGCGGAAUGCAGAGAAAGAGUGCAGAACGAAGCGGGGAUUGAGACGAGAACGUACCGUAGCUCACGCAUCAAUUUGGCCUACUUUAGCGACCCUCAAGGCCUGGUGGGCAACCAACCUAAUUUACAUUCUGCUGGAUUCCUGGCGACACAGCUAUUCAGGGAAACAAAAUAGCAGAGCAACUAGCCAACACAGGACGUAAUACCCCGGCCUGCUGCCAUAACACUCUUCCACGCCGUGAUUUCAUUCGCCUUAGCAAAACCAUCAUCAUCAAUAGUUGGAAUGGUUAUUGGGUUAGCAGCGGCCGCUAUUUCCUGAGAACCAUCAAGACCACAACACAACCAUGGAGAGACCACCCAUCACACCAAGACCAGAGAAUCCUAUCACGACUUCGUAUUGGACACACCCAGCUCUCCCACACCUUUUUAUUUCAAAAUUCCAUCCCAUCACUAUGUAGUUUCUAUGGCGUCGACUCCUGUGGCUUGGAAAACCCUGUAUCCAGCUAACUGCGCUACAGAUAUGGUGCAGAGUGGGAUGCAACACGGAUUGUUCGUGCCGAUUACUCUCGGACGUGGAUAAGAUAGGCAUCUUAUUUUAUUUUUCAUUGAAACCGGAGACAGUCUUUUUUUAGCGUCUAAAUAAAAGUAAAAACGAAGACUGCUAAAAUAACUUUA